CUACGGGUGGCAGCAGUGAGGAAUUUUGCGCAAUGGGGGCAACCCUGAUGCAGCAACGCCGCGUGGAGGAUGACGCAUUUCGGUGUGUAAACUCCUUUUAUAUGUCAAGAAAAUGACGGUAGCAUAUGAAUAAGCACCGGCUAACUCCGUGCCAGCAGCCGCGGUAAUACGGAGGGUGCAAGCGUUACUCGGAAUCACUGGGCGUAAAGGACGCGUAGGCGGGUUGGAAAGUCAGGUGUGAAAUCCUACAGCUUAACUGUAGAACUGCACUUGAAACUUCUAAUCUAGAGUAUGGGAGGGGGAGAUGGAAUUAGUGGUGUAGGGGUAAAAUCCGUAGAUAUCACUAGGAAUACCUAAAGCGAAGGCGAUCUCCUGGAACAUUACUGACGCUAAGGCGUGAAAGCGUGGGGAGCAAACAGGAUUAGAUACCCCAGUAGUC
rnacentral:rRNA from 1 species